GUGAGGAAUAUUGGUCAAUGGGCGGGAGCCUGAACCAGCCAAGUCGCGUGAAGGAAGAAGGAUCUAUGGUUCGUAAACUUCUUUUGCAGGGGAAUAAAGUGCAGGACGUGUCCUGUUUUGUAUGUACCCUGAGAAUAAGGAUCGGCUAACUCCGUGCCAGCAGCCGCGGUAAUACGGAGGAUCCGAGCGUUAUCCGGAUUUAUUGGGUUUAAAGGGUGCGUAGGUGGUUUGAUAAGUCAGCGGUGAAAGUUUGCAGCUUAACUGUAAAAAUGCCGUUGAAACUGUCGGACUUGAGUGUAAAUGAGGUAGGCGGAAUGCGUGGUGUAGCGGUGAAAUGCAUAGAUAUCACGCAGAACUCCGAUUGCGAAGGCAGCUUACUAAGCUACAACUGACACUGAAGCACGAAAGCGUGGGGAUCAAACAGGAUUAGAAACCCCGGUAUCC
rnacentral:rRNA from 1 species